rnacentral:misc_RNA from 1 species
GAUGAAGAACGUAGCGAAAUGCGAUAAGUAAUGUGAAUUGCAGAAUUCAGUGAAUCAUCGAAUCUUUGAACGCACAUUGCGCCCGCCAGUAUUCUGGCGGGCAUGCCUGUUCGAGCGUCAUUUCAACCCUCAAGCACAGCUUGGUGUUGGGACUCGCGUUAAUUCGCGUUCCCCAAAUUGAUUGGUGGUCACGUCGAGCUUCCAUAGCGUAGUAGUAAAACCCUCGUUACUGGUAAUCGUCGCGGCCACGCCGUUAAACCCCAACUUCUGAAUGUUGACCUCGGAUCAGGUAGGAAUACCCGCUGAACUUAAGCAUAUCAAUAAGCGGAGGA